rnacentral:rRNA from 1 species
ACGAACGCUGGCGGCGUGCCUAAUACAUGCAAGUUGAGCGCUGAAGGUUGGUACUUGUACCAACUGGAUGAGCAGCGAACGGGUGAGUAACGCGUGGGGAAUCUGCCUUUGAGCGGGGGACAACAUUUGGAAACGAAUGCUAAUACCGCAUAAAAACUUUAAACACAAGUUUUAAGUUUGAAAGAUGCAAUUGCAUCACUCAAAGAUGAUCCCGCGUUGUAUUAGCUAGUUGGUGAGGUAAAGGCUCACCAAGGCGAUGAUUCAUAGCCGACCUGAGAGGGUGAUCGGCCACAUUGGGACUGCGACACGGCCCAAACUCCUACGGGAGGCAGCAGUAGGGAAUCUUCGGCAAUGGACGAAAGUCUGACCGAGCAACGCCGCGUGAGUGAAGAAGGUUUUCGGAUCGUAAAACUCUGUUGGUAGAGAAGAACGUUGGUGAGAGUGGAAAGCUCAUCAAGUGACGGUAACUACCCAGAAAGGGACGGCUAACUACGUG